rnacentral:misc_RNA from 1 species
AGCAGCCGCGGUAAUUCCAGCUCCAAUAGCGUAUAUUAAAGUUGCUGCAGUUAAAAAGCUCGUAGUUGAAUUUCGGGAUCAAUAUGUUGGUCGUGCCUCGGUACGUACUAGCUUAUUGGUUUCUUCCUUCUGACGAACCAUGAUGUCAUUUAUUUGGUGUUAUGGGGAAUCAGGACUGUUACUUUGAAAAAAUUAGAGUGUUUAAAGCAGGCUCACGCUUGAAUACAUUAGCAUGGAAUAAUGAAAUAGGACGUUUGAUUCUAUUUUGUUGGUUUCUAGGAUCGACGUAAUGAUUAAUAGGGAUAGUUGGGGGCAUUAGUAUUCAAUUGUCAGAGGUGAAAUUCUUGGAUUUAUUGAAGACUAACUACUGCGAAAGCAUUUGCCAAGGAUGUUUUCAUUAAUCAAGAACGAAAGUUAGGGGAUCGAAGACGAUCAGAUACCGUCGUAGUCUUAACCAUAAACUAUGCCGACUAGGGAUCGGAUGAUGUUAAUUUUUAAUGACUCAUUCGCG